UGACAUUUCAUUAUUAUUUAGAACAUGUAAUUCAAGUGCAUUCCUUCCUUCAUUUGUUAUUUCUAUUUUUGUAUUUUUCGUUCUAUAAUUGAUUUCGUAACAUAAAUAGAUAAUUCGAGUGGAAACGAAUUUUGUAAAGAGGGGAGUGAUGUGGCGAGUGCACUUUAGGGUAAAGUUGGUAAGAUCUAGAUCGGAGUGAGAAUUGAAUGAAAACACAUGUUAGAGUUGAAAGGUUAAAGUUGCGAUCGUGGGAAUGAGAAAGAA
rnacentral:lncRNA from 1 species